AUCCUUCACCAUCCGACCUCAACAUUGGUCUGAGUGGCUAUAAAAGAAGGAAAACUAGAAGUGAAAAAUGACUUGGAUUCUUUUCUGAUGUACAAGUUAGUUUAAAAGCAAAA
rnacentral:snoRNA from 1 species